rnacentral:lncRNA from 1 species
GAGUACAAUUUUCCUCCAAAGCUUUAGUCUCUGUAGCAGUCCCAUACUCAUCUGUACCACACAUGUAUAUUGCAUUGUAUCCUCUAAGUCUACAGUAUCUCGCAAACACGUCAGCACUCAAUACACAUCCAAUAAUAUUGCCAAGGUGAGGAACGUUAUUGACAUAAGGCAAAGCGCUAGUAAUUAGGAUGUUUCGUUUGCCUCCACCCAAAAAAAUCAAUUUUUCCAAAUCCAAAAAUAAAUAAAAAAUAAAAAAAUAAAAACUAUAAAUAAAUAAAGUUGUACGUACAUCCAAUAAUAUUGCCAAGGUGAGGAACGUUAUUGACAUAAGGCAAAGCGCUAGUAAUUAGGAUGUUUCGUUUGCCUGGGAUUGGAAGUAUCGGAACUGUUUUGCAAUUUUCGCCCAUUUUUUGAGAGAUCUUAAUUUUCUCAAAGAGAUUCUUGAGAUAGUAGAACUUCGUGCUGAUAACGUGUUAUGAAAUAGCUAGGGUUCAAAAGAGGUUUUUUAUGGCUAUAAUUGAAAUUCAGCAUAUGAAGAAGACGAAGAAUAGAGAAUGCUACUGUUUAAGGUAAAAGAGGCGUUAUAAUCUAUAGACUGAAUAAAUUAACGGAAUGAGGUUCUUUU